rnacentral:rRNA from 1 species
GAUGAACGCUAGCUACAGGCUUAACACAUGCCAGUCGAGGGGAAACGACAUCGAAAGCUUGCUUUUGAUGGGCGUCGACCGGCGCACGGGUGAGUAACGCGUAUCCAACCUGCCCAUCACUUGGGGAUAACCUUGCGAAAGUAAGACUAAUACCCAAUGAUAUCUCUAGAAGACAUCUGAAAGAGAUUAAAGAUUUAUCGGUGAUGGAUGGGGAUGCGUCUGAUUAGCUUGUUGGCGGGGUAACGGCCCACCAAGGCAACGAUCAGUAGGGGUUCUGAGAGGAAGGUCCCCCACAUUGGAACUGAGACACGGUCCAAACUCCUACGGGAGGCAGCAGUGAGGAAUAUUGGUCAAUGGGCGAGAGCCUGAACCAGCCAAGUAGCGUGCAGGAAGACGGCCCUAUGGGUUGUAAACUGCUUUUAUAAGGGAAUAAAGUGAGAGUCGUGACUCUUUUUGUAUGUACCUUAUGAAUAAGGACCGGCUAAUUCCGUG